rnacentral:rRNA from 1 species
CAUGCAAGUCGAACGAGGAUAUAUCCUUCGGGAUAUAAGCCGAGUGGCACAAGGGUGAGCAAUGCAUAGAUUACCUACCUUUAGGAUAAGGACAACUUUGUGAAAACGGAGCUAAUACUUAAUAAUACAGAAGAAAUAAUUUUCUUUUGUCAAAGGGAGGGCAGCAAUACCUUUCGCCUAGAGAGGGGUUUAUGUCCUAUCAGCUUGUUGGUGGGGUAAUAGCCUACCAAGGCGAAGACGGGUAGCCGGUUUAAGAGGAUGGUCGGCCACACUGGGACUGAGACACUGCCCAGACUUCUACGGAAGGCUGCAGUCGAGAAUCUUUCGCAAUGCCCGAAAGGGUGACGAAGCGACGCCGCGUGGGUGAAGAAGGCCUUCGGGUUGUAAAACCCUGUCAGGAGUUAUGAAAUGUAAGUGCGCUAAUAUCGUGCUUAUUUGACAAAGGCUCCAAAGGAAGCCACGGCUAACUCUGUGCCAGCAGCCGCGGUAAUACAGAGGUGGCGAGCGUUGUUCGGAAUUAUUGGGCGUAAAGAGCACGUAGGUGGGUUUGCAAGUCAGAUGUGAAAGCCUUCUGUUCAACGGGAGAAUUGCAUCUGAAACUGCUAAUCUUGAGUAUAGGAGGGGAGAAUGGAACUUCUAGUGGAGCGGUGAAAUGCGUAGAUAUCAGAAGGAACGCCGGCGGCGAAAGCGAUUCUCUGGCCUAUUACUGACACUCAGUGUGCGAAAGCUAGGGGAGCAAACGGGAUUAGAUACCCCGGUAGUCCUAGCCGUAAACGAUGGGCACUAAGUAGAGGGGAUUACCUAUGUUCUCUCUGCCGUAGCUAACGCAUUAAGUGCCCCGCCUGGGGAGUACGGCCGCAAGGCUAAAACUCAAAAGAAUUGACGGGGGCUCGCACAAGCGGUGGAGCAUGUGGCUUAAUUCGAUGCAACGCGAAAAACCUUACCGGGGCCUGACAUGAUAGAAGUAGGAACCUGAAAGGGGGACGAACGGUAUCCAGUCCGUAGCUAUUACAGGUGUUGCAUGGCUGUCGUCAGCUCGUGUCGUGAGACGUUGGGUUAAGUCCCCUAACGAGCGAAACCCUUGUUUUUAGUUACCAGCGGGUUAUGCCGGGUACUCUAGAAAGACUGCCGUCGUCAAGACGGAGGAAGGUGGGGAUGACGUCAAGUCAUCAUGGCCCUUAUGCCCCGGGCUGCACACGUGCUACAAUGGUCGGUACAGAAGGAAGCGAAGCCGAGAGGUGAAGCGAAUCCUAAAAAGCCGAUCUCAGUUCGGAUUGGAGGCUGAAAUUCGCCUCCAUGAAGUUGGAAUCGCUAGUAAUCGCGGAUCAGCAAUGUCGCGGUGAAUAUGUUCCCGAGCCUUGUACACACCGCCCGUCAGGCCACCCAAGCAGGAUACACCCGAAAACAUUAUAUCUAACCAGGGCAACUUGGAGGAAAAUGUUGAAGGAGUGUUUUGUGAGGAGGACUAAGUCGUAACAAGGUAGUCGUAGGAGAAACCUGCGGCUGGAUCACCUCCUUUCU